UUCGUUUGUCUAAAUUUGAGGCUAGAGCUCAUGAGGGCAUAUUUGUUGGUUAUGCUACAAACUCUCAUGCUUACCGUGUGUGGCACCCCGGCUCAGAGAAACUGGAACGCCCCGUAUUCCAGCUCGGAGAUCAAGGAGAAGUCUUUGGAAUACGGCACUACUUGACAUAGAACAAAUCAGCUCUUAUUACAAGAAUAAUAAUACAAGGGUCUGAUGUUACAAAGAAGCAGCACGACGACACUACGCCUACGAUACUACACUUGAUCUAUGCUAGCAGCGGAACAACUCGAAGCAACGGAAUACUUCUAGCAGCGGAGCAACGACGAAGGUGGUGAACUCCACUCCGCAGGGACUCUGGCUGGGACACGAUCUAGCUCGCACGCACGGCAACCAUCGACAAGUAAUCAAGCAAUCAUGGCAUCACCUGCAAUCUGGCAUGACACGCCAGGUCAGUACAUUGAAUGUACUUGCAAGCUCACAACAACCAUAAACAUCAAGGCAAGACAAUAACAUAGCAUUAACGGGUUAAUUAAAUUAGCAACUAUUAUGAUGAAACAACUACAAAGCAUGGUAUGAAAUGGACACAAUACUAAUAAAUCACCAUCUCAGAUCUCCAUAACCAUAUCACUCUUGGCUAACCGGCCAAGCAAUAUACCAUCUCGAUCACCUCAUGAUCAAAACCACACGGUGAUCUUUCCGUCGAUCACUACCAUGACCAACACUUGGUCUCAAACGGUGAUCUUUUCGGCGAUCACUACCACGACCAACACUUGGUCUCAAAAGGUGAUCCUUCCGGUGAUCACUACCACGACCAACACUAGGUCUCCAACAUCAUCAUCAACAUCCUGCCCAUCUGUACUGCUCAACAUAUCAACAUAUAAAUCACCUAUAAGUCAUUUCAUCAUGUGAGUGUUGAUCGAAUGGUGUGACCUAGUAUGAACCCAUGCCCAUGACCGAGGACGCGGCUAUCGAUAGUUUAAAUACACUCUGUAGAGGUAGCGCACUGUACCCACACCACGG
rnacentral:lncRNA from 1 species